UGGGGGAUAUUGCACAAUGGGCGAAAGCCUGAUGCAGCGACGCCGCGUGGGGGAUGAAGGCCUUCGGGUUGUAAACUUCUUUUGCUCUGAACAAGGCGCACCAUGGGGUGUGUUGAGUGUAGGGGUUGAUUAGCGCCGGCUAACUACGUGCCAGCAGCCGCGGUAAUACGUAGGGUGCGAGCGUUGUCCGGAAUUAUUGGGCGUAAAGGGCUUGUAGGUGGCUGGUUGCGUCUGUCGUGAAAGCUCAUGGCUUAACUGUGGGUUUGCGGUGGGUACGGGCUGGCUUGAGUGCAGUAGGGGAGGCUGGAAUUCCUGGUGUAGCGGUGGAAUGCGCAGAUAUCAGGAGGAAUACCGGUGGCGAAGGCGGGUCUCUGGGCUGUUACUGACACUGAGGAGCGAAAGCAUGGGGAGCGAACAGG
rnacentral:rRNA from 1 species